CCUACGGGAGGCAGCAGUGAGGAAUAUUGGUCAAUGGGCGCGAGUCUGAACCAGCCAAGUCGCGUGAAGGAAGACGGUCCUAUGGGUUGUAAACUUCUUUUGUAGGGGAGUAAAAGUCACCACGCGUGGCGUUCCGAGAGUACCCGACGAAUAAGCAUCGGCUAACUCCGUGCCAGUAGCCGCGGUAAUACGGAGGAUUCGAGCGUUAUCCGGAUUUAUUGGGUUUAAAGGGUGCGUAGGCGGAUGAUUAAGUUAGCGGUAAAAUUGAGAGGCUCAACCUGUUCGAGCCGUUGAAACUGGUGUUCUUGAGUGAAGGAGAAGUAUGCGGAAUGCGUGGUGUAGCGGUGAAAUGCAUAGAUAUCACGCAGAACUCCGAUUGCGAAGGCAGCAUACCGGCGCUCAACUGACGCUGAGGCACGAAAGUGUGGGUAUCAAACAGGAUUAGAUACCCUUGUAGUC
rnacentral:rRNA from 1 species